AUCGAACUCGGAUAUAGCUGGUUCUCCUCGAAAUAGCUUUAGGGCUAGCCUCAAGGUAAAGAUACACGGGGGUAGAGCACUGACUGUUCGCGGGGCCUUCACCGGUUACCAACAACUAUCAAACUCCGAAUACCGUGCUAUCAUACUUGGGAGUCAGACUAUGAGAGAUAAGUUCCAUGGUCGAAAGGGAAACAGCCCAGAUCAACAGCUAAGGUCCCAAAGAGUAAGUUAAGUGGAAAAGGAUGUGGGAUUGCACAAACAGCUAGGAUGUUGGCUUAGAAGCAGCCAUACAUUUAAAGAGUGCGUAAUAGCUCACUAGUCGAGUGAUCCUGCGCCGAAGAUAAACGGGGCUCAAACUUACCACCGAAGCUUUGGAAUUAGUAUAACUAAUUGGUAGAGGAGCAUUCUAUACAGGUAGAAGGAGGCGCGUAAGCAAAUCUGGACGGUAUAGAAGAGAGAAUGUUGGCAUGAGUAGCGUAAGGCGGGUGAGAAUCCCGUCCGCCGAAAAUCUAAGGUUUCCUGAGGAAGGUUCGUCCUCUCAGGGUAAGUCGGGACCUAAGCCGAGAGCGAACGCUGUAGGCGAUGGACAACAGGUUGAUAUUCCUGUACCACCAAGGAUUGUUUGAAUGAAGUGGGGACACAGAAGGAUAGAUUGAGCACGCCGUUGGUUGAGCGUGUCCAAGCAGCAAGGCUUGAAAGUAGGCAAAUCCGCUUUCUACAAGGCUGAGCUGUGAUGGGGUGGUCGAAUGACCGGUAGCAAUCGAUUUCACGCUGUCAAGAAAAGCCGCUAAUGAGAUCCAAGGUGCCCGUACCGCAAACCGACACAGGUAGAUGAGGAGAGAAUCCUAAGGUGAGCGAGCGAACUAUUGUUAAGGAACUCGGCAAAAUAACCCCGUAACUUCGGGAGAAGGGGUGCCUGCUUCGGCAGGCCGCAGUGAAGAGGUCCAGGCAACUGUUUACCAAAAACACAGGUCUCUGCUAAAGCGAAAGCUGAUGUAUAGGGGCUGACGCCUGCCCGGUGCUGGAAGGUUAAGGGGAAGUGUUAGGGCAACCGAAGCACAGAACUUAAGCCCCAGUAAACGGCGGCCGUAACUAUAACGGUCCUAAGGUAGCGAAAUUCCUUGUCGGGUAAGUUCCGACCCGCACGAAAGGCGUAAUGAUCUGGACACUGUCUCAACAAUAGGCUCGGUGAAAUUGUAGUACCGGUAAAGAUGCCGGUUACCCGCAGCAGGACGGAAAGACCCCGUGGAGCUUCACUGUAGCUUGAUAUUGAUUUUCGGCAUUGCAUGUACAGGAUAGGUGGGAGACGUUGAGUUCAGCACGCCAGUGUUGGAGGAGUCACCGUUGGGAUACCACCCUUGUAAUGUUGGAAAUCUAACCUAGUACCGUGAUCCGGUACAGGGACAGUGUCAGGUGGGCAGUUUGACUGGGGCGGUCGCCUCCUAAAGAGUAACGGAGGCGCCCAAAGGUUCCCUCAGCGCGGACGGAAAUCGCGCGAAGAGUGCAAAGGCAAAAGGGAGCUUGACUGCGAGACAUACAGGUCGAGCAGGGACGAAAGUCGGGCUUAGUGAUCCGGUGGUUCCGAGUGGAAGGGCCAUCGCUCAACGGAUAAAAGCUACCCCGGGGAUAACAGGCUUAUACCCCCCAAGAGUUCACAUCGACGGGGGUGUUUGGCACCUCGAUGUCGGCUCGUCUCAUCCUGGGGCUGAAGUAGGUCCCAAGGGUUGGGCUGUUCGCCCAUUAAAGAGGUACGCGAGCUGGGUUCAGAACGUCGUGAGACAGUUCGGUCCCUAUCCGCUGUGGGCGUUGGAAAUUUGAGAGGAGCUAUCCUUAGUACGAGAGGACCGGGAUGGACAUACCUCUGGUGUACCGGUUGUUCUGCCAAGGGCAUAGCCGGGUAGCUACGUAUGGAAGGGAUAAGCGCUGAAAGCAUCUAAGUGCGAAGCCCACCUCAAGAUAAGAUUUCCUCCGAAAGGUAAGACCCGUGAGAGACUAUCACGUUGA
rnacentral:rRNA from 1 species